rnacentral:rRNA from 1 species
CCCCAGCUCACCUCCGCUGAGAGUACAACAGUGAGCAUAAUCGCCCUAACCCCGCUAAUAA